rnacentral:ncRNA from 1 species
GGGUGUCAGCUGCAUCGUGCAGCGGGGACAGGUCAAUGCGUCGGUCGGGCCGCCACG